CAGUCCCGCGGGAAUACGAAGAGGGCUAGCGUUGCUCGGAAUGACUGGGCGUAAAGGGCGCGUAGGCGGUUUAUACAGUCAGAUGUGAAAUUCCUGGGCUCAACCUGGGGACUGCAUUUGAUACGUAUGGACUUGAGUGGAGAAGAGGGUUGUGGAAUUCCCAGUGUAGAGGUGAAAUUCGUAGAUAUUGGGAAGAACACCGGUGGCGAAGGCGGCGACCUGGUCCUUGACUGACGCUGAGGCGCGAAAGCGUGGGGAGCAAACAGGAUUAGAUACCCGAGUAGUCCCUGUCUCUUAUACA
rnacentral:rRNA from 1 species